rnacentral:misc_RNA from 1 species
UCAAAAUAUACCCAAGAUCAACAUCAGAAAGUUUUGGAUCUGGCGACGGAAGGCCAAGACCAAUUUCUACAUUGAAGAUUGCCAACAACACUGCUAACACAAUCAACACAAUCAGCACACUAAAUUAAAAUCUAACAGAACUACCAGUACUAAACACCAAUUUAACAAGGACCCAAUAGCUAAAUAAAAGAAGAAAAAGGAAAGACCAAUUAGGGAGUCAAAGAUUACCCAAAUUCAAUCAUCCCCCGUAGGAAACAGAGUGAGAACCUUCCUACCCCCGUUCCCACUCGCCGACUCCAAAUCCUCCACAUAUCCUGGAACUGUAUUAUGCACUGGCGCCCCCAUCCUAUGCACAGGCUGCUGUGUCUGUCUAGCUAGAAAGGGAUGUUCAAACUGCCCAUUUGGAGGUGACCCAAAGUGCCCCAUCUGCCUGUGGUACUGACUCUGCAACUGGGGAUGCGCCACUGCUGCGGCAGCUGCUGCAAUCUGCUGUUGGUGAUGAUGGUGUUGCAGUGCUGCCACUGGCACAAACGGCAAGAAAUGAUCGGAAUUAGGCCUCCCUGGAUGCAGGAAAUGCGCAGGUACUGGAGAACUCGCAAACAAAUGCUCAGUUGCAGCAUCAGACCCUGCGGCCAAUCCACCAGCCCCGCCACCACCAGUACCAUUAACACCACCAGCACC